GGGGGAAUAUUGCGCAAUGGGCGAAAGCCUGACGCAGCGACGCCGCGUGAGGGAUGAAGGUUUUCGGAUCGUAAACCUCUGUCAGAAGGGAAGAAACCGCACUGUGCUAAUCAGCAGUGCCUUGACGGUACCUUCAAAGGAAGCACCGGCUAACUCCGUGCCAGCAGCCGCGGUAAUACGGAGGGUGCAAGCGUUAAUCGGAAUUACUGGGCGUAAAGCGCACGUAGGCUGCUUUGUAAGUCAGGGGUGAAAUCCCACGGCUCAACCGUGGAACUGCCUUUGAUACUGCUUAGCUUGAAUCCGGGAGAGGGUGGCGGAAUUCCAGGUGUAGGAGUGAAAUCCGUAGAUAUCUGGAGGAACAUCAGUGGCGAAGGCGGCCACCUGGACCGGUAUUGACGCUGAGGUGCGAAAGCGUGGGGAGCAAACAGG
rnacentral:rRNA from 1 species